CAUGCCGCGUGUGUGAAGAAGGCCCUAGGGUUGUAAAGUCCUUUCGUUGGUGAAGAUAAUGACGGUAACCAAAGAAGAAGCCCCGGCUAAUUUCGUGCCAGCAGCCGCGGUAAUACGAAGGGGGCUAGCGUUGUUCGGAAUUACUGGGCGUAAAGCGCGCGUAGGCGGAUUGGAAAGUUGGGGGUGAAAUCCCGGGGCUCAACCCCGGAACUGCCUUUAAAACUACAUGGCU
rnacentral:rRNA from 1 species